rnacentral:rRNA from 1 species
AUUGAACGCUGGCGGCAGGCCUAACACAUGCAAGUCGAGCGAGCGGCGGACGGGUGAGUAAUGUAUGGGGACUGCCCGAUAGAGGGGGAGAACUACUGGAAACGGUAUCUAAUACCGCAUACUAUCGGAUAACCCAUAUGGGAUUAUCUCGUAGGUGUGGUAAUGGCCCACCUAGGCGACGAUCCCUAGCUGGUCUGUGAGGAUGAUCAGCCAAACUGGGACUGAGAAACGGCCCAGACUCCUACGGAGGCAGCAGUGGGGAAGAUUGCACAAUGGGCGCAAGCCUGAUGCAGCCAUGCCGCGUGUAUGAAGAAGGCCCUAGGGUUGUAAAGUACUUUCAGCCGGGAGGCGUUACCGGCAGAAGAAGCACCGGCUAACUCCGUGCCAGCAGCCGCGGUAAUUC